GAAGGAAGAAGCAAAAAUGCUGUUAAGACGAUUAUACAGUUGCAGAAACAACAGAGAUCUCAGAACCAUCUCAAGAUGCUCUUGGUGCAUCAACAGAAGAUCAGAAGUGGACCAUGCUUAUCUUGAUGCUACAGGGAACAAUGGUACAGUUGCCCCAUCCACUGUCAUCUCUGAACAUGCUGAAGGGCUGCCUGAAGGUAAAUUCAUGUUUGUAUGUUGCUUGCAGAUGUAGACUUAUCUUGUUUCUCAUUAAAA